rnacentral:rRNA from 1 species
AGGACGAACGCUGGCGGCGUGCCUAAUACAUGCAAGUCGAACGGUCUUUCUAUGGAAGCUUGCUUCCACUGAGAAGAUAGUGGCGAACGGGUGAGGUAACAACGUGGGUAACCUGCCCAUAAGAGGGGGAUAACAUCCGGAAACGGGUGCUAAUACCGCAUAGUUUUCUUGAUCGCAUGAUCGGGAAAGGAAAGACGGCCUUUGUGCUGUCGCUUAUGGAUGGACCCGCGGCGUAUUAGUUAGUUGGUGAGGUAACGGCUCACCAAGACGAUGAUACGUAGCCGACCUGAGAGGUGAUCGGCCACAUUGGGACUGAGACACGGCCCAAACUCCUACGGGAGGCAGCAGUAGGGAAUCUUCCGCAAUGGACGAAAGUCUGACGGAGCAACGCCGCGUGAGUGAAAGAAGGUUUUCGGAUCGUAAAACUCUGUUGUCAGAGAAGAACAAGUUGGAGAGUAACUGCUCCAGCCUUGACGGUAUCUGACCAGAAAGCCACGGCUAACUACGUGCCAGCCGCCGC